rnacentral:tRNA from 1 species
GGAGGGGUGUCGGAGUCUGGUCGAUCGAGCUCGACUCGAAAUCGAGUAGGCGGGUGACCGCCUCGUGGGUUCGAAUCCCACCCCCUCCGCCA